GACGAACGCUGACGGCGUGCUUAACACAUGCAAGUCGAACGAUGAAGAAAAGAAUUGAAGCUUCGGCAGAAAUUCAUUUCGGAUUAGUGGCAGACGGGUGAGUAACGCGUGAGCAACCUACCUCUUACAAAGGGAUAGCCUCGGGAAACCGGGAUUAAUACCAUAUAACAUUGCGACGAAGCAUUUCGAUGCAAUCAAAGCUACGGCGGUAAGAGAUGGGCUCGCGUCCCAUUAACCAGAUGGUGAGGUAACGGCUCACCAUAGUAACGAUGGGUAACCGGCCUGAGAGGGUGAACGGUCACACUGGAACUGAGACACGGUCCAGACUCCUACGGGAGGCAGCAGUGGGGAAUAUUGCACAAUGGAGGGAACUCUGAUGCAGCGACGCCGCGUGAGUGAUGAAGGAAUUCGUUUCGUAAAACUCUGUUCUAUGGGAAGAAAAGGACUGUACCAUAGGAGAAAGCUCCGGCUAAAUACGUG
rnacentral:rRNA from 1 species